rnacentral:rRNA from 1 species
GAUGAACGCUGGCGGCGUGCCUAAUACAUGCAAGUCGAGCGAACGGACGAGAAGCUUGCUUCUCUGAUGUUAGCGGCGGACGGGUGAGUAACACGUGGAUCACCUACCUAUAAGACUGGGAUAACUUCGGGAAACCGGAGCUAAUACCGGAUAAUCUUUUGAACCGCAUGGUUCAAAAGUAAAAGACGGUCUUGCUGUCACUUAUAGAUGGAUCCGCGCUGCAUUAGCUAGUUGGUAAGGUAACGGCUUACCAAGGCAACGAUGCAUAGCCGACCUGAGAGGGUGAUCGGCCACACUGGAACUGAGACACGGUCCAGACUCCUACGGGAGGCAGCAGUAGGGAAUCUUCCGCAAUGGGCGAAAGCCUGACGGAGCAACGCCGCGUGAGUGAUGAAGGUCUUCGGAUCGUAAAACUCUGUUAUUAGGGAAGAACAUAUGUGUAAGGAACUGUGCACAGCUUGACGGUACCUAAUCAGAAAGCCACGGCUAACUACGUG